rnacentral:rRNA from 1 species
CACUCCUACGGGAGGCAGCAGUGGGGAAUAUUGGACAAUGGGCGCAAGCCUGAUCCAGCCAUGCCGCGUGAGUGAUGAAGGCCCUAGGGUUGUAAAGCUCUUUGACCGGUGAAGAUAAUGACGGUAACCGGAGAAGAAGCCCCGGCUAACUUCGUGCCAGCAGCCGCGGUAAUACGAAGGGGGCUAGCGUUGUUCGGAUUUACUGGGCGUAAAGCGCACGUAGGCGGACUAUUAAGUCAGGGGUGAAAUCCCGGGGCUCAACCCCGGAACUGCCUUUGAUACUGGUAGUCUUGAGUUCGAGAGAGGUGAGUGGAAUUCCGAGUGUAGAGGUGAAAUUCGUAGAUAUUCGGAGGAACACCAGUGGCGAAGGCGGCUCACUGGCUCGAUACUGACGCUGAGGUGCGAAAGCGUGGGGAGCAAACAGGAUUAGAAACCCCGGUAGUCCCAUGA